AAGACUGUUUUUCACGUAUUAAAAUAGGUAACAUGUUUUCACAAAUUCAAAAUAAAUGAACACAACAGUCAUUUUUCUAACUCUCUAAAACUUAUUUUAGAAGAUGUAACUUUAAAGGAAUGGCCAUCAUAAAAAGAUCAUUUGCCUUAGUUAAACUGAAUAACUUGAUGACUGUGUAUUUUAACAAAAAGUUUUAUGACUAUUUAAUACAAUUCAUAUUUAACAGAAAAUCAUUACACAUAGAAGGCCCAUACAAUUUUCAGUUAUAAUUUCUAUGUUGUUUUAGUCAAAACAGUCAAUGGGACCCAACAAUAUAGUAUUAUGGGUUGCUAUGUCUGGUUCUUAUUAUUCCUUACUUAGUUUAACCGGUUAUAUCUCCUAACCUCAUCUCUCUCUUAAGACUUCAGAGAGUCUUCUGUCCUGCGAUCAUUUGCCUGGCAGUAAUUUGCAAGUUAAUAAGUAUUCAAAUUUAAAAUCACCUGAUUUUGGCUUUUGUUACCCAGUCUGUACCUUUAAAUUAUACCAUAAAGCUUUUCCUAUAACCACAAUAACAGGUCUCAGUCUCAGAGGAACAAGGCACAAUGAUCUCUUUUCCAGGAUUUCUCUCCUACUACUGCCCAGAGAAGGAAAUGGCAACCCACUCCAGUAUUCUUGUCUGGGAAAUCCCAUGGACAGAGGAGCCUGAUGGAUUCACUGGGUUGCAAAGAGUCAGACAUGACUGAGAGACUAAAACAAAACAGCUGCCCAGAUGCUGCCAUGGAACAGAAUACUGAGCAGCCUUGAUACUUAUACUAAUUUUUUAACCUAUUAUUAUUAUAACUAUUAUUGUUGGCAUUACUUGGCAGGCGGGGGUGCUUUUAGAAGGUUGCCAAAAAAUAAAAUGAGAAUAGAUGUGAAAGCACUUCAAAAGUAUAUAAAGUAUUUUUAAAAAACCAAAAAAUAAGAGACAGAACAAUUUGCCCAACCUGUAUCCUAUUUUUAAACAUGUUGGACAAAAGGAAGUUUGCUAUCAGAGUGUAAAACCAUAACUACCUUGUUAUAAAUUCUAUCCGUUAUCACACAGAGCUAUUAACAGCCUUUUUCUUUUAAUGCUUUGUCAUUAUUUGCACUUUAUAUCUUGCUUAAGGUAAAAGUUACUGCUACCCAAUAAAACCAAGGGUUUGCUCUUAUAAGCAAACCUCAAAUAGAAAAGUUUUAUUACCAUCUCCAUCAGCAAUACUGUUAUCACAGGGGAAACCUCUUAAUGUGUCCUUGUCCAGCCAAAAAUACAAGUAUGUUCCUCUAUAUAAUGUACCUCAACCAUUAAAAUCUAUUUGUUCCCUUUCAAUGUAACAGAAAAACAAUGUAUUUGAGUUCUCACCUUUGCUAUUCCACUUACUUUCUUUUUAUUUUGCCAAAUCUGCCUCUGUGAACUAAAAUUACUCAAGUCAUUUCUGCCAUCUCUACAAUAUCUCCUUAAAAUGUCUGAUUCUAUAAACAAGGAAAGUCUGACUACGGAUAUUACUUUAUCUAUAAAGAUUCAACUACUGAAUUACAAAAAUACAUUUAUAAAGUUCUUUUAACCAAUGAUUCAAGGCAUUAUAAAGAUGCAGUGUAAUUUUAAAUUGGUAGUAUAAAUCUCAUAUCGACGAUAUAAUUUUUCAGCAAAAUAAUUGUUUUAAUGUUUCUGAAGUUAGUCAUCCCUAAAAAUAUUCUGCUUGGAUAUCUGCACAUUUAUUGGUACAAUGUGGUUUCUUCUGGCACUCCCUAGUUAAUGAAACAAUCCUGCUUCAAGAUUUUGUUUUUCUGCUUUAAUUAACCCACAACCUGACCACUUAAUGGAUUCGUAUGGACUAUAGUUAAAGGGAAAUGUGUAUUCAUCAUUAAGUACACAUAGAAUUUUAAAUUGUUCAAGAGUUAAAAAGCACCCAAAUUACUGUUGUUUUUCAGAGUAUGCGAGUACAUAGGCAAUAUUAUUUAAAAUGCUAAACUUUACUUGAACCAGUUUUUGCCUUUUAAUUGAGGUUUGUCCUGGUUUCCAAACACCAGAUAUUCCAAACUCGUAAAUUAGUGUCAUUAAGUAACAAAGAAUUUCUUUUAAAAGUGUUAGUUCCUAGUACAAUAUUGGAAAAUAAAUUGGAUUAAUUUCUACACCGCAUACCAUAUGAACAUCCAAAGCAGCAAAAACACUCUCUACUUAGAACUUUAAUUUUUUAAUACCCAGUUUGCACGAAGCCUCUUCACAUUACUCACAAUUCCCCUAACAAUUAAUGUACUGUAGACGUAAGAUCCUACGUCGAAGGUUUAGGCACUUUCUCUAUUUCUUUGAAAAGCUGUGUGUCUCAAACAUUUAUUAUAGGAAAACAUAAUGAAAUAUUGAAGCUGUGUUUCUAACAUGUCCUGAAUGCUCGAUGAACAAAAUACUACCAAAAUCAAACCCUCUACAGCUAGCAGUUAAUAAAGCUUUUUAAAAAAAAUAACUGACAAUAAUGCAUGUACCUUCUUAAAUACAGAAGCGAUUAGACAUCUGAACUUAAAAUUGUUUUUACAAAUAAAAAUAAAAGACGGCACGUCUAUUCCCCCCUAACAAUGACCGGCAAACCCCAGCUGCUACGUCCCAACAAAAACUUGCGGCUGAGAAGGCAACCCCGACUGGGCACGAAAUUACAGUAGACAGAAAAGGACCUAGAAAUAAAAGUGAGCUCUGCACGCGCCUGCCUCUCGCCUCGGGAGCACGCACCUCCCAGCCCCGCUCUCAGCCGCUCUCACUAUUUAAAGCCGGAUCUGGUGUUUAAAUGGAGAGGCGGUGACGUAGGCCUGAAAAGCACCUUCCCAUCCUGGCAGAGUCUAUAUUAGAGAGCGGCAAUGGCUCUAUAUAAACAGGGCAGCCAAAGGGAGGAGGACCACAAGGCUCAGGGACUGAAAAGCAGGGUAAGCGGCCGCAGCCAUGAUGGAUCGACCCGAGUCGUCAACGAUCAUGUUACAGAGAGGGCAAUGGCACCCCACUCCAGUAAUCUUGCCUGGAAAAUCCCAUGGAUGGAGGAGCCUGAAAAUAAAAACGGAAUUCCUGUGUUCCUGUGUCUGCUCAGACCUCUCAGUCACACCUGUGUCUUCCCUGCACGUAUCUCUAGAUAGACAUCCAUCUCCAGAAUGCUUCAUCUCGCGGAAGUGGAACUCUGGGUGCAGUAAACAGCAGUUCCCCACUCCCCUUUAACCCCAGCUCCUGGCAACAAUCGGUCUGCUUUGUGUCUCUGAUCUGGACUACAAUAAGUACCUCAUAUAAGUGUGAUCCGUAGAUAUUUGUUGUUGUUUUAAACUGAAUUAUAGCUGAUGUAUAAUAUUAUGUAAGUUAAGGUGUACCGUAUAGUGAUUCACAAUUUUUAAAGGUUACAGUCCCUUUAUAGUUAUUAUAAAAUAUUGGCUAUAUUCUGUGUUGUACAGUAUAUUCUUAUAGCUUAUUUUAUCUACAAUAGUUUGUAUCUCUUAAUCUCCUACCCUUAUGUUGCCCCUCCAUAGCCACUGUUAGUUCUGUAUAUCUGUGAGUCUUUUUUUGGUUAUAUUUUGUUAUAGUUUUAUAUUUUAGAUUACACACAUAAGUGAUAUCAUACAGUAUUUGUCUUUUUCUGACUUAAUUUCACUUUGCUAAAUUACCCUCCAAGUCCAUUUGUGGUUGCAAAUGGCAAAAUUUCCUUCAUUUUUAUGACUGAGUAGUAUUCCAUUAUAUUUCACACCUUAUUUUCUUCACCUGUCUGUUGACGGACACUUAGUUUGCCUCAGUAGCUUGACAAUUUUAAGUAAUACUGAUAUGAACAUUGGGGUGCAUGUAUCUUUUCAAAUUAGUGGCUUCAUUUUUUUUUUCAAAUAUAUGCUCAGGGCUGGUGCACUGGGAAGACCCAGAGAGAUGGGAUGGAGAAGGAGGCAGGAGGAGGGAUCAGGAUGGGGAACACAUGUAAAUCCAUGGCUGAUUCAUGUCAAUGUAUGGCAAAAACCACUACAAUAUU